CCUCGAAAAGUUGAUUUCUUUAGGCAGGGUGGAUAACACAGAUCUGUUAAAACUUUCGCACUUCUGUGUUGAAGUGUUGCUUGUCACACUUUUGAUGGCGUACUCACUUAGGCGUAUUUCCAGAAUAGCGGAUAAUAGCUCACGGUCAUUUCUUGUCAAUUCUAGGUGAUGAAUACCAUGUGUGGGUAGAUAGGAAGAGUUUUACCACCAAUCAGUAACAUUUCCUACACCGGAACAAACUAAGGAUUCCUCUGGACAGAACUUACAGCUACCAGCAUAACACUCUAGCGUAGCUAUACGGAUUGUUGGUAAGACUUUUCUAUGAGCGAAGCACUGGUUUUGAGGAAUUUUGUGCCUGAUUUUGGCUGAGAUGUAAGCAAGAACUACUGUUGGUUUGUUCCGCAGCGUUCAAGUGAGGAGGUUUUCAUUUCUGGGUGGAAGGUUUCAUGAGGCACUAUGCACAAGAAUACACACCAGUUACUAUUUGGAAUAUUCUAUAGUGAUUACAGAAAUUAAAAGCUGCAGAAAAACUCCAAGGGCUAAUGUAUUAUUUUUUGUGCUAAAUUUACUUGGACUGCAUUGGUGUUUAAAGAAAUGGUCAUGAAGUUUCGGUACCGGAUUUGCUUUGUCUAGAAUUUAGCCUUA